AAGAGGAGGUAGAAGGAAGAUGGCGCAGACCCACGUGACCUGGAGGAGCUGCAAGUAUCAAGAGGUCUCACAGCUGGGGAGUAGAGUAGUGCAGUGGUGAAUCUGCCCAAUCUAGGUUAUAAGAAGCACACGAUGCCAUGUGACCACCAUACUGGAUCAUCAAGAAUCGUUUUCCCUAAGAACCCUUCAGCUCACCUGCGCUUCCCUUCUCCUUCUCCCUCCCCUGCUCAUGGGAACUUUUUAACCCUGAAUGUUCUGGCCCCUGUCGACUCUAUGUAUGCCACUGUCCCUCUUCUAGAGGAGGAGGAGGAUGGGUAUGGCGAUGAAUCGUCACCACCAUCAACGUGACUGGUUUGGAGGAGGAGACACACCUCUGAGUUUGGAGAGCACAAGGGUUUGGACUUCACACUGGACAGGAGGGGAGGCGAGCUGAGCAUGGCCCUCCUGGCUCUCUGCUUCCUGACUGGACACAACAUGAUCAUCGUCUCAUGCUGCCCUGCCUUUCUCAUCAGGCUGGACUGGAUCCCCUCAAACUAUCAGCAAAAAUGAACUCCUCCUUUCUUAUGUUGCUUUUUGUCAUAGCAUGAGUGAAAGUAGUCGGUACAAGUGAGAGGGGUGUGAGGGGGGCUAUGACCUUCCUCAGUGGCCAACUACUCUCCUCCCCAGCAGGAAGGAGUCCAGCCAAAAAUACCAGUAAAAGUGAUUCCCUACCUUUCUCUCCUCCCUACCCCUUCCUUUCCCUCCUUCCCUGCUGCCUCAUCCUAUCCGAAGAAGGGAGCUGAAGUUAGCACACAUUUAGAAAGGACAUCCCAUGAAAACAGAAGUCCUUUACUCCAUGGUGACGCAUUAGAGCAUGUUUAUAAAUACACACUUUACUAUUUUACUAGAAUGUUGAUAGACAGAGUGUUUCACAGUGCCAGUGAAGGACAUCUGCUAAAAAUAAAGUCUGUGAAGAUCG
rnacentral:sRNA from 1 species